UACGGAGGAUGCGAGCGUUAUCCGGAUUUAUUGGGUUUAAAGGGUGCGUAGGCGGACUGUCAAGUCAGCGGUAAAAUUGAGGGGCUCAACCCCGUCGAGCCGUUGAAACUGGCAGACUUGAGUUGGCGAGAAGUACGCGGAAUGCGCGGUGUAGCGGUGAAAUGCAUAGAUAUCGCGCAGAACUCCGAUUGCGAAGGCAGCGUACCGGCGCCAGACUGACGCUGAGGCACGAAAGCGUGGGGAUCGAACAGG
rnacentral:rRNA from 1 species